CGUGGCUGGGGGCACCCUGAUCAGCAAUGCCGCGUGCAGGAAGAAGGCCUUCGGGUUGUAAACUGCUUUUGUACGGAACGAAACGGCUCUGGUUAAUACCCGGAGCUAAUGACGGUACCGUAAGAAUAAGCACCGGCUAACUACGUGCCAGCAGCCGCGGUAAUACGUAGGGUGCGAGCGUUAAUCGGAAUUACUGGGCGUAAAGCGUGCGCAGGCGGUGCUGUAAGACAGGCGUGAAAUCCCCGGGCUUAACCUGGGAAUGGCGCUUGUGACUGCAGUGCUGGAGUGCGGCAGAGGGGGAUGGAAUUCCGCGUGUAGCAGUGAAAUGCGUAGAUAUGCGGAGGAACACCGAUGGCGAAGGCAAUCCCCUGGGCCUGCACUGACGCUCAUGCACGAAAGCGUGGGGAGCAAACAGGAUUAGAUACCCUGGUAGUCCACGCCCUAAACGAUGUCAACUGGUUGUUGGGUCUCUUCUGACUCAGUAACGAAGCUAACGCGUGAAGUUGACCGCCUGGGGAGUACGGCCGCAAGGUUGAAACUCAAAUGAAUUGACGG
rnacentral:rRNA from 1 species